CAACCAAAACCUGCCUCCAAACCUGGAAUUCAAAAAUAAGCUCCUUCAUUGAGGCCACUGCGAGCAACAUCCAAAGGGUUGGCGAGCAACAUGUUGCUCAUGAGCUACUGGUUUGGGGUCAAUGGGCCAGCUGGUUUGAUAUCUAAAGUAAAAGAGUGUGAAAAAGGUUAUCUACCAUGGGCCUAAAACAUAUAGGCAGGGCUGCUAUUCCAGAGAUGGAAAGGUGCAAUUUGAGAGCCACAAAGGGGGUUGGCUUUUGGUGAAUCAUGGUCAGUGUUUUGGCAUGGUUGGUUGGCCCACCACCCAGAGUACCCAGGAGACUGUUUGUCUAAUAAUUGGCACCCCUGGGGAUGGCCCUGCAUACAAAGGCUCAAAAUGAAUGUAUGAAACAUGGUCACUAUUACAAUGGGUUUAAAUAAAAUUGCAGAGUGUUGGGUCCCAAAUGAAUAAAGCUUGGACAAAUAUUUUUGAAACUUCGCAGUUCUAGUCUUUGGAUAUUGACAAUCCUGCUCCUAAUGCUUGCACAUGCUUUUCAUGCAGGCUUUUAUCAUUUUUAUAAGAUUUGGUAAAAAUUGGCAAGAUGAAUGUAAAAUGUAUCCCCUCGUGUUGAUACAUUCUUGAGGUUAUAUUACUAGGUAUAAAUGCUCAAGGUGCUGACAGAUACAGUUAGAGGGUAAAGCAGAUAAAAGGGUGCCACCCUCGGACAGAUUAAUGGAAGGUUACAGAUCCAAAUAUAUUGGCUUAUCAUAAAUAUCCAGGGGCUGCUGGGCAGUGACAGCAAAGCCUUUAAUUAGAAAUAUGUACGUUGUAAAUACAAUUCAGAGAGCAGAGUUAAAGGAGUUGUUCACUUCUGCUGAAACGUUUAGUAUGAUGUAGAGAUUGAUAUUCUGAGACCUUUGCAAUUGGAUUUCAUUUUUUUAUUAUUUCUGUUUUUGUAGCCAAAUUACCCUAGCAACCAUGCACUGAUAUGAAUAAGAGACUGGAAUAAGAGCCUGAAAAGGAACAUGAGUAAUAGAGUAGCAUCAAGAAUAUAUUUGUAGCCUUACAGAACAUUAGUUUUGCGAUGGGGUCACUGACCACCCAUUUGAAAGCCAGAACAAGAAGACAAACAAUGAAAAAACUAUAAGAAAUACAUAAUGAAAACCAUUAUAGUUAUUUAGCUUUUUAUUCAGCUGCUCUCCAGUUUGCAAUUUCCAAAUUACCCUAGCAACCAUGCAGUGAGUGCUGAGGAGCCCCUGCACUUGUUUUUUGGAUUUCUUACAGCGACAAAACACAAAAUAUCCCUUAAAUACAUUACACAUACACACAUACCUUACCCCUAUACACAUCCUUUCCUUUUCUGACAUUUAUUAGCCCACACAACACCAUCCCUACACAUCGUAACACAACCUCCCUCCUUUCCCUACACUCCCAAUGUUUUUUUUGCAGGUUUUUCUCUCAGUCCUUCUGAAUUUGCCACUGACAGGACAAUGUCUAGUAGGCAUGGGAAGAAUAGAACUUACAUCGAGGCUUUUUCACCUGAACUCGAUGAGCCGGUGAAGAUAAGAUGCAUCGUGAAGGCCCAGAAAUGGAAAUAUUUGGUUAUAUUGGUAGUGGAGGUGAGGGGACACACAACCUUUUAUAUUGUAUAUUCAAGUCUUAUUAGAAUAUUGUAUAUUCAAGUCUUAUUAGGCCAUAAAAGCUUCUAUUGGUGCAUUGGCUGCAAAAAUAAGAACACAAUGGCAGCCUUGAGGAAGCUUGUACAAUAUACACUCAAUUAAACAGGAGAGGAACAUGCAGAUAUCACAGAAGAGAUUAGGAGAAGAGAGCAGUACACUGAGACUGAGGGUAGAAAGAGUGCAGGAUCUUUGAUAUGGGAACAUAGAAUUGUACAGAGAUAAGGGAAGUAGAGGGUAAGGGGUUUGGCAGUGAGGGGGAGAUACAAGGAUAUUAUGGCAGGACAAGAGAGAGGUCAGAGAGAUUGGUGACAGAGCAGAAUUCAAGGAUAGUCCGUGGUGUUUGGGAUCAGACACAAACUUUAAUGUGUGUUAAUGCAGAGUUUUUUAUUUAAAUAUUACUAUUAAAAUAUGUUAAAUAAAUGUUAUAUGUAUUAUAGAGUUUGAUCCAGGGAAUAAUCCGAUCGCCUAUUGGGGUCAGGAAGGAUUUUUUUUUCCCCUCGGCAAGACUAAUUGGCGCCUGUUUUGCUGAGGGUUUUUCUUUGCCUUCCUCAGGGUCAACAUAUAAGGUUCAGCAAAUUAUCAAUAAAAAAGCCUUUUCUUUCAAUAUAAA